UACGAAGGCCCCAAGCGUUAUCCGGAAUUACUGGGCGUAAAGCGUCUGUAGGUGGUUUGGAAAGUCUUUAGUGAAAGGUCAGGGCUCAACCCUGUACUUGCUAAGGAAACUAUCAGACUUGAGUGCGGGAGAGGCAAGCAGAAUUGUAUGAGUAGGGGUGCAAUCCGUUGAUACAUACAAGAAUACCAAAAGCGAAGGCAGCUUGCUGGAACGCUACUGACACUGAGAGACGAAAGCGUGGGGAGCGAAAGGG
rnacentral:rRNA from 1 species